GACGAACGCUGGCGGCGUGCUUAACACAUGCAAGUCGAGCGGUAAGGCCCUUUCGGGGGGUACACGAGCGGCGAACGGGUGAGUAACACGUGGGUGACCUGCCCUCAGCUCUGGGAUAAGCCUGGGAAACCGGGUCUAAUACUGGAUAUGACUCCAUGACGCAUGUUGUGGGGUGGAAAGCCUUGUGCGGCUGAGGAUGGGCCCGCGGCCUAUCAGCUUGUUGGUGGGGUGAUGGCCUACCAAGGCGACGACGGGUAGCCGGCCUGAGAGGGCGACCGGCCACACUGGGACUGAGACACGGCCCAGACUCCUACGGGAGGCAGCAGUGGGGAAUCUUGCGCAAUGGGCGAAAAGCCUGACGCAGCGACGCCGCGUGAGGGAUGACGGCCUGUGU
rnacentral:rRNA from 1 species